CAUAUGAAGGAAAGGUGUAUAAUGAAAUUCCUUCAGAUGGAAAAAAUGGCACCUGUUGACAUUCAUUGAUGCUUGCUGAAUAUUUAUGUAGACCAAACAGUGGAUGUGAGCACAGUGAAGUGAUGGGUGGCAUGUUUCAGCAGGGGCAACAGCAAUGUGAAAGACAAGUCACAUUCUGGAUGGCCGUACACAGCUGUCGCACUAGAAAAUGAAGAGUGUUUUGAUCAGCUCAUGCACAAAUUGGCAGACUGCAACAAGGGAACUGUGGACAAAACUGAAUAUUGUCUUCAAUGAAUUGGAAAUGAUGGUGGCAGUGUUGGAAUACAGCAAAGUUUGCACCAAGUGGAUCCUGUGAAUGCUCAUAUGGGAACAGAAAGCACACCAUAUGCAAGUUUGUUAAGACUUAUUGAACCAAUACAAGGCUGAAGGUGACAGUUUCCUGGGUCACAUUGUUACAGGUGACAAGAUGUGGUGUCACCACAAUGAGCUGGAGUAAAAAUGGCAAUCCAUGGAGUGGCAAUACAUGAAUUCCCCAUUGAAAAAUAGUUCAAGGUGUAGCCCUCAACUGGUAAAGUGAUGUAUACUGUCUUUUGGGAUAGAAAAGGGGUAAUCCUUCUGGGUUUCCUGUAACCUGGACAAACUAUCAGCUCAGACCUCUACAUCCCGAUGCUGACUAACUUCUAAAGUUAGGCUGGAGAAGAAGACAUCCUUUCUCUUGUAAUAUGAAACACCAGGCCCUUCAUCAGUUUGAAAACCACGGAGCACAUUGCCAGUCUUGGCUGGACUAUCCUUCCACACCCACUGUAUAAUCUGGAUUUGGUGCCUUCUGACUUCCAUUUGUUCAGGCCGAUGAAAGAUGGAUUGCAUUGGCAACAUUUUCUUAGCAAUUAUGCCAUCAGAGCAUCUGUGAAAUGUGAUAUUGCCACGGAAGCAGCACUGAAUUAUAGAGUGUCACGGGUCAACUGAACAUUAGAGAAGAGUUAGCAGGUGUACUGGAGGACAUGAAACACUUUUCCAGUAGAAUAAUGAAAACGAAGCUUGUCCGUCAGGACAGCUGCUCAGAACUGAACUCCACUUUGUGAGAAUCAGCCUGGAAGGUGUGCCAAGAACUACCCAAAUAUUAAUUUUACAUGACUCGUUCAACAACAGAGUCUAGAGUCACCAGUGAAGGAUCAAGUUCAUAUUAUGUUUGUAUUAACACACAAUAAAAGCAUAGGGUGGGAUAGAAGCGGCCUCUUUCAGCACCUCAUACAAGAGCUGAACAAGACCAUGGCACAAAGAUAUCAAUUCAGAAACCCAGCUCCCUAUUGUUUGGGAAGAACCUAGCAUUAUUUGGCUUCUGAGCUCAGCAUCACAAAAUAUCCUGAGUGCCUGAAAUUCUCCCAUUGUCACGGGAGCUGUAUGGCCCCAGGGACAAUCGCUGGCCUUCAAACCAAGCUUGUUGAACUUGGAGACAUCUGCCCUCCACUUGAGUGCCCUGAAGAGGCUGACCUCUGCGUGUCUGGACCUUGCCUAAUACACCCCAAGAGCAUCGAGGCUCUCACAAAGGAUGCUACCCAUGAAGAAGUAGGAGGCUGCCUACCUCAGCGAGCGCAUAGAGAUGGGCAAAAAAAGUGAGCACAGAAGGAUGAAUACAGAAACAGAAUUGAAUUACUUCUGUGAAGUUCAGGUUUCAAGUUCUCAAGAAUGAGUACGUGCUGAAAAAAAAAAAGCCUCCUGGGGCUGUGACUGUACUAUUGCCAUGAAAGCUCCGGAACAAACAGUUUUGCAUAAUGAGUGCAUUAGGCCUGUGUGGCUAGUGACCUUUCAGAACCUCACAAGCAACCGAGGAUUAGCCCUGAGAGAGGCUAUUUUGAGUCACAGAGGGUCUUCAACUGCAAGCACAUUGGCGAUGGCUGAAGACCAGGCAUCGGCAGUGGGAGGAGCUGAACCUGUGAGCCUCUCAGGAUAUACUAUCUCUUAAUUCCUCCAGAUACCUCCAUUUAACCCACAGAAGCCUGCAGGGUCCAGCCCUUAUUUUGAAUUUUUUGUCACUGACAAGGUGGAGUUGGCUAGCACUGGCAGCUGAGUCAUUGAAGGGAAAGAAAGUUCUUGCUCUUUUUUAAGAGAGAGAGAGCCCUUCUCCUUCAGUUGGUAAUACCGAAAGCACGGACCUCAGAAAAGUAAUCCUGGAAGGUACCUUUGGAGGUCGUCAAAUCCACAGCACUGCCCCAAGAAAGGAUCAGCUCUACAUAUGCAAUCUAUCUCCUCUCCUGACAGAUAUUUUCUAAUUGCUUUUGCAAGACCUCCAGUGACACAGAUCCUGCAAUCAGACCCAGCAGCCCAUCCAGGUGCUUCACUGUCCCGACGAUCAGAAUUUUUUCCUAAUGUCUGAAUGAACUCCUGACUCAUGAUCUUCACAGUGGAUAAGAAAAGCAGACUAUUCUCUUCUCUCUGACAGCCUGCUUUUGAAGACUCAUGCUGCUGUCCCUCAGACUCUUCUAAUAGGAUGACUCCAAGUUAUGUGGUCAUCUCUCAUCUUCUUUGGGUUCUGUCCUGCAUUUGCAUAGCCCAUUACUGCUGCAAUUCCAAGGGAGUAACCUU
ensembl:lncRNA